rnacentral:rRNA from 1 species
UACGUGUAGGCCAUUGCAAGUACUGUAUGAAUAAGCAUCGGCUAACUCCGUGCCAGCAGCCGCGGUAAUACGGAGGAUGCGAGCGUUAUCCGGAUUUAUUGGGUUUAAAGGGUGCGCAGGCGGGCUUUUAAGUCAGCGGUGAAAUCUGGACGCUUAACGUCCAAACUGCCGUUGAAACUGGGAGUCUUGAGUAUGGAUGAAGUAGGCGGAAUUCGUUGUGUAGCGGUGACAUGCAUAGAUAUAACGAGGAACUCCGAUUGCGUAGGCAGCUUACUAAGCCAUAACUGACGCUCAUGCACGAAAGCGUGGGGAUCAAACAGGAUUAGAUACCCUGGUAGUCCACGCCGUAAACGAUGAUUACUAGUUGUAUGCGAUAUGAUAGUAUGUGACUAA